CUUGCAACACCUCGUCAUGCUCCAGGUUCAGUUCAUGUAAUAGACUUUCAUUUACAUCGGAAUUUUUGGCUGAUUGAAGAUUGACUUCUGGGGAAGGAAGCAUUUCUGGUGCUGAAGCAGUGUCAUGCCCCAGGUUCAGUUCAUGUAUUAAUUUGACUGAGUGAUGAUCAUGGUAGGGUGUUUCAGUGAGGUGCCGAGAGGGAGCGGGAGGUUUGAAGUGGUUGAGAUCCGGCGGGCGGUCAAGGCAAGGUUGCCGCCUGCCGGAAGGCGAAGAACACCAAGAUCUUUAACCUAUAGCUCUGAUACCAAGUAGAAAUUUAAUGAUUGAUAUAUUGAUAUUGUGUAUUUAAUUACAAAGCAGAGUAGCUCAUUAUAUAGGAGAGGGUUUGGGUAGUAGGUGAGGAGUAGGUGAGGGUAAAUUGGUGGUAGGUGUAGUAGGUGUGGUAGUAGGUGGUGGUAGGUGUAGGUAAAUUCUAACAGUAAUUUUGUUUUGCUCGCUCUAAUAGGUAUAUUUUCUUUGACCUUUAAAUAUUCUUUUUAUUCAUAAUGUAUUGAAUGCUAGUGUAACUUACUACCUUGCACAUAUGUUAUUGUCAUUUUUCUUACUGAGGAAUUUAAGCUACAUGGAUUUGUAUAAAUUAGUUGUUCAGUAGUAGGUUUUCAUUGAAUAUAUUAGACUAAACAUGAUAUUAUUGUGGGUUGAUAAUUGUUAUUUGAAUAUGAGAAAAUCUCUUAUGAUCAAAUUGUUUAACACUUACAGUGGAAAAUUAUAUGUGAAUGUUGUUCUUUCUUGAUAAACCUACAGAAAAUGUUAUUACCCUACUGUUCAUUCUGAUUUAAUUCUGUGUCUCCUCUUUAUGGUCCUAACAUUCCUCUCGUUUUUGCUUUCUUGUGGACGUCAAAUUGGAAAACUAAACCAAGCAGCAAGUGGUUUUUGGAGAAGAUUGGUCAUGAAGGUCUGAACAAUUUGUUAAUGGCAUAUGAGGAUAAAUCAGCCUAUGCUCUGUGUGUAUUUUCUCUUGCUCUUGGUCCAGAGAUAGAGCCAAUAACUUUUAUGGGGAAAACUCCAGUAAGAUUAUGUGCUUGCUCUUUUCUUAAAAUUAUAGUAUUAAUGGCUGGUUCUGGAGUUAUGAGCACUCAGACUUUGGAUGUGCUCAUUAUGAAUGUGAAUGCAUGCAUGUAUGUAUUCAUGUUUAGAUCUGUUCAUAUAUAUGAAAAAUGUGAUAUAACAGUUAUAAUUUAUUGAAACAAAUAAUAGACUACAGUUGAACUAGCAUUAAGUUUACAGCACAUAUUAACUAUGUGAAAUUUAUUUCUUCACUUGAGCACCAAUUUGGCCCAACUAUAAAAGUUCGAUUGGCACAUGGCUGGAUAAGUUCUACUAACAGCAAACUUGUUAUGUGAAGGCAUUUGCAGCAUGUAUAAAUUAUAUCCUUUGAAGCAUGUGUUAAUUUGAACUUGGAUUAGAAUGUCUAUAUUUAUGCAGCAGUUCUGGUUUUAUACUAAUGUACGACGAGUAGGGGUUGCACUCUCCAACUGGCAGCAAUCCCGAUAAUAAUAUAUGGUAGCCAAAAACCUAGGCUUUUGGGCUGAUUUUAAUUGGGUUUUAUGGCUGAAUGUUUAGUAACACAUAUUAGGGUUUGUAUGGCAUAAUAAAGGGGUAAGGGUUUCAACAUGAAAAAUUGGGAUUUUUUGGCACUUUUUAGAGGCUGUUCUGGGUGCUGUGAAUUGUAGACAAGAACAUUAACUUUGCAGAUUUUGCAGAAAAAAUAAAGAAGAAAACUAGGAAUCACUUUGGGAAUCCCCGAGGCAUCACACCUAAGGUUAGGAUUGCAUCACACAAUCCAUAGAAGAGCUUCAAAAACUUCA